rnacentral:rRNA from 1 species
GAUUGAACGCUGGCGGCAGGCCUAACACAUGCAAGUCGAGCGGUAGCACAGAGAGCUUGCUCUCGGGUGACGAGCGGCGGACGGGUGAGUAAUGUCUGGGAAACUGCCUGAUGGAGGGGGAUAACUACUGGAAACGGUAGCUAAUACCGCAUAACGUCGCAAGACCAAAGUGGGGGACCUUCGGGCCUCAUGCCAUCAGAUGUGCCCAGAUGGGAUUAGCUAGUAGGUGGGGUAACGGCUCACCUAGGCGACGAUCCCUAGCUGGUCUGAGAGGAUGACCAGCCACACUGGAACUGAGACACGGUCCAGACUCCUACGGGAGGCAGCAGUGGGGAAUAUUGCACAAUGGGCGCAAGCCUGAUGCAGCCAUGCCGCGUGUGUGAAGAAGGCCUUCGGGUUGUAAAGCACUUUCAGCGGGGAGGAAGGCGUUAAGGUUAAUAACCUUGGCGAUUGACGUUACCCGCAGAAGAAGCACCGGCUAACUCCGUGCCAGCAGCCGCGGUAAUACGGAGGGUGCAAGCGUUAAUCGGAAUUACUGGGCGUAAAGCGCACGCAGGCGGUCUGUCAAGUCGGAUGUGAAAUCCCCGGGCUCAACCUGGGAACUGCAUUCGAAACUGGCAGGCUAGAGUCUCGUAGAGGGGGGUAGAAUUCCAGGUGUAGCGGUGAAAUGCGUAGAGAUCUGGAGGAAUACCGGUGGCGAAGGCGGCCCCCUGGACAAAGACUGACGCUCAGGUGCGAAAGCGUGGGGAGCAAACAGGAUUAGAUACCCUGGUAGUCCACGCCGUAAACGAUGUCGAUUUGGAGGUUGUGCCCUUGAGGCGUGGCUUCCGGAGCUAACGCGUUAAAUCGACCGCCUGGGGAGUACGGCCGCAAGGUUAAAACUCAAAUGAAUUGACGGGGGCCCGCACAAGCGGUGGAGCAUGUGGUUUAAUUCGAUGCAACGCGAAGAACCUUACCUGGUCUUGACAUCCACAGAACUUUCCAGAGAUGGAUUGGUGCCUUCGGGAACUGUGAGACAGGUGCUGCAUGGCUGUCGUCAGCUCGUGUUGUGAAAUGUUGGGUUAAGUCCCGCAACGAGCGCAACCCUUAUCCUUUGUUGCCAGCGGUUCGGCCGGGAACUCAAAGGAGACUGCCAGUGAUAAACUGGAGGAAGGUGGGGAUGACGUCAAGUCAUCAUGGCCCUUACGACCAGGGCUACACACGUGCUACAAUGGCAUAUACAAAGAGAAGCGACCUCGCGAGAGCAAGCGGACCUCAUAAAGUAUGUCGUAGUCCGGAUUGGAGUCUGCAACUCGACUCCAUGAAGUCGGAAUCGUUAGUAAUCGUAGAUCAGAAUGCUACGGUGAAUACGUUCCCGGGCCUUGUACACACCGCCCGUCACACCAUGGGAGUGGGUUGCAAAAGAAGUAGGUAGCUUAACCUUCGGGAGGGCGCUUACCACUUUGUGAUUCAUGACUGGGGUGAAGUCGUAACAAGG